rnacentral:rRNA from 1 species
AUGAGUUCCUCCUCCUCCACCCUCUCCAACCCCUUUGACGGUCCCGAUGUCAUCCUCAUUCAUGAUCUGAACAUCCACGAGCAUGUUCUGGUGGUGCUUGAUCAAUCCACCGCAUCCUACUCCUCUUUGAAGCGGUCUUUCUCCUUGGUGUUUCACGAGUACCUGCUCCACGACCACAUUGUUGGCACCCAUGGGGGCUUAGCACCACCUCUGCAGCGUCCAGCGCCGGCCUUUCCCCAGGCGCCGGAUCUACAACCUCCCAACCGCGAGGAUGUAUACCCUCAUAUGCUCCUCAGACAGCCCUCCGGGAGACGGUCGAACAGCCCCCCCGGACAGUGUCGCGGACAGCCCUUCGGGAGGACCUUCGAAACUCGAAUGGUCACUCGGACAGCCCUUCGGGAGGACCUUCGAAACUCGUACGGUCACACGGAUAGCCCUUCGGGAGGCACUCACGAAAUAAGACCGAAACUACGAUCUCUCUACAGAGUUGCACACAUACGGUGUCAUCUAUCCAGCAGGGCUUCGCCGUCCAGAACUAGUUCCUGCGGGAACCCAGACAGCCUUUCGGCUCUACGAAACUAUUUCGCUGGGAGGGAGAGAAGAAGCCAGAUCAUUGCAUGGCACUUGUAUGACAGCAAAGGGAUGAGCUUUGGGCUUCCCACUCCUCCUCUAUUUAUAGGAAAGCCAAGGGGUAGGGAUGGCUCACAAAAACCCAAAAUGCCCAUGCAAAUGUCACACAUGAAGGGCAUAAUGGGGAGGGAAGUGGAGCUCCAUGGAGCCCCACACAUGUGGCCGGCCAACCCCCUUGGGGGUCCCCCAUGA